AUUGGAGAAAACUCUGACCGAGCGACGCCGCGUGAACAAUGAAGUACUUCGGUAUGUAAAGUUCUUUUAUUGAAAAAGAAAAAAUAGUGGAAAAACUAUCUUGACAUUAUUCAAUGAAUAAGCCCCGGCUAAUUAUGUGCCAGCAGCCGCGGUAAUACAUAAGGGGCGAGCGUUAUCCGGAAUUAUUGGGCGUAAAGGGUGCGUAGGCGGUUUGAUAAGUCUAUAGUUUAAAUGCAGUGCCUAACGCUGUAGCGCUAUAGAAACUGUCUGACUAGAGUUAGAUAGAGGCAAGCGGAAUUCCAUGUGUAGCGGUAAAAUGCGUAAAUAUAUGGAGGAACACCAGAGGCGUAGGCGGCUUGCGGGGUCUUAACUGACGCUGAGGCACGAAAGCGUGGGGAGCAAACAGGAUUAGAUACCCUGGUAGUCCACGCCGUAAACGAUGAGUACUAAGUGUCGGGUUUCGACUCGGUACUGAAGUUAACACAUUAAGUACUCCGCCUGAGUAGUACGUACGCAAGUAUGAAACUUAAAGGAAUUGACGGGACCCCGCACAAGCGGUGGAUCAUGUUGUUUAAUUCGAAGAUACACGAAAAACCUUACCAGGUCUUGACAUAAUUUUGCGACAUUAUAGAAAUAUAAUGAAGGUUAUCAGAAUUACAGGUGGUGCAUGGUUGUCGUCAGCUCGUGUCGUGAGAUGUUAGGUUAAGUCCUAAAACGAGCGCAACCCUUGCCGUUAGUUGCGACCACGUAAUGGUGAGCACUUUAGCGAGACUGCCAAUGAAAAAUUGGAGGAAGGUGAGGAUUACAUCAAAUCAUCAUGCCCCUUAUGAUCUGGGCUACAAACGUCCCGAGAUAACAAAGAAAAGAUAAAAAGAA
rnacentral:rRNA from 1 species